ACUAAAAAUAUAAACUAGAGGAUUAUUGGAUGUGAUAACAGGAUGGUUUAAGACUACAUCUUGAUUAUAUUGGAGUGCCAACUCAUGUGUGUCGAUCAGAUCACUAAUCAAUUCAAAUUACUCAUGGGACUAUUGAGGUACCAAUUAGAGCGAAAAUUAUUGAUACAUAAUGUAGAGUCAAUGUAAACCUACUCUGAAUUCCUUAGCAAUUGGUAGCAAUUAUGAUUGAAUGAAUAAAAUUGUGUUAUAAAUGGAGUUUGCGACAUAUCUAAUGGUUUAAAGAAAUAUUUAAUUAGUUAGGUGCAUUUGAGGACUGGUACAUUGAAACUCAGACGUUGAGGAAUUCAAUGAGCUAUUAACCCUGUUUGGAGUAAAGAAUAUAGAGAGAACAUAAUUAAGGUUGAGCAUAUUCUUAGAUCGUAUAAGGUAUAAAUUGUACAAAUCUUGGAGGUGAUAGACUUGGAGAAAAGGAAUAACCUAAUGUUAUUAUUAUCUGAAUAUUCAUUUAAGAAUAAACAUAAAACAAAGGACAUAGUUCAAUUCGAAGUUGGAUUAUAGGUUUAGUUUCUUUAAUCUCCUACUGAGCUAGAGUAAAAAGGCACUACUUGUUUAGGAUUUCUGGAUACGUAGACCUAGGUAAACUGGAUAUAAAUUACGGUUUGGAGAAUUUUACAUCUUGAUUAAGCUUGUAAAAAAAAAAAAA